GCCUCAGACCUCGUAGGACUGUCUUCACACAGACUGGAAGUGCUAACAGGUGGUGAGGACACCGCUUUACAAUGAUGCAGGAGGCCCCAUGUCACCCUCACCCAUGGGAAGUUUGACUUGGUGGACUCAACCAAGCCACAGGGGUCUAGCGCUUCUUUGCGGUGAUUCCAGGCGGCCCUGGCAGACAGCACAGUACCUGCAGACAUGCUGUCACUGCUCCACGCGUCAACACUGGCAGUCCUUGGGGCUCGUCUAAAGGCCACCCUGGCAAACCAAGAACACAGAAUUUUAUUACAGCUGCUGGAUAUGAAGACUCAGCAUAUGAUAUCGGUGACGUUAACACCCUCCCAGGGAGAAGCGCUGUUUCUUCUGGCUGGGAAGUGCGAGCCGGUGGGGAGAGUGAGAAGGGUAGAGCAUUACAUGGAGGAACUUCCUGGUUUCCUUGCCUCUGAGGGCCUUAUGCCAGAGGGGAUAGAAAGCCCAUUAGAAACCCAGGAUAGGCAUAAGGAGAAUCUGAGUGUCUGGCUCCUGUCAAGCUUCCCUAAUAUGGCCCUGGUAGAACUCCACCAAAAGUGGAAGGCAUUUGCAAAGGUGAGCCCAAAGCAGUACCACUUUCCACACAGGCUGUGCAUGUAGGAGUCCCAGAUGCUUCUCAGGGUCUCUGAGAGGAUACAAAGGUACUGAGGGGGCCGGUGAGCACAGCACCUGGGAUUUGGAUGAGAAGCUGCAGGAAAGGAACUUUACAUCCCAAGGACAUGGUGUGGAGUCAAUAGUGGUAAGUUCAGUCUGGUUAUUACACCAGCCAGUUCAGAGGAAGAGUGAAAUCCCUUAGAUCAGCAGGGCAAAGUGCUGGAAGUUGUUGAGGAUGCAGAGGGUAGCAGGAAGACAACUCUAAGAACUCAUUCACACACCCUGCCCCUGGGUAGCGAGGUCAUCCUGGGGAUGAGAAGGAGGAAGAGAGAGAAACACAGAAAAGCCUAAGCAGGCACCACAAAGAGACCGAGCCCAUCUGAAAAAGGCUGCUCUAACCUGAUGGAAACUAUUUUAAGUUGGUAAGUUUAGUGCCUCCCCGCAAUAUCAGAACGAGCAAGAGAUGACAGGUAUAGGUUGUGUACAUUUCCCCUCUGCAUUGAAUGAUACAGUGCGCCUGUUCCACCGCUGUGCCCUGCUCAAAGUUAGUGGGGUGGCUGUGGCCUGCUCAAAGUCACUUGGGUAAGGGGCGCCAGUGGGAACCAAAAUCCCAUCUCACACCCACCCCCUGCACACUCUGGAGCUGGGCUGUGACAUGCUGGAGAAAGGUGUCUUUGUCUAAUUAUUCUGCCUAAGGGCAUGCCUUUUGUUAAUUAGUAAAAAGAAGCCUUAUUUGUGCUCUGGGGAGUGGGGGGUCUGUUUAGGAGGUAAUUCGUGAUAAAGCCACACAGAUAAGAUACAAGGCUUUCAAUAAAUUGAAUCUAUGAAGCUUCCUAACCCCA
rnacentral:lncRNA from 1 species